AGAAGUUUAGGUUACCUUAAACCAAGGGCCUUCAAAGCCCUAAACGGGAGAUAUCCCAAUUUCUG
rnacentral:tRNA from 1 species